UUUACAGAGAACAGGAAGGUGCAGCCACCCCCAGGGCACAGUCUAGGGUGGGAUGUGAGGGUGCAGAGCCUGCAGGGAGAACUCAGACGAAAUGUAGGACUUUAAGACCCAAGCUCAGAUUCUACAACGCCCACGGGACUAAGAGGUGUGCAACCUCCCCGCACCCCCCCCAAUGUGUCAGUAUCUGGUUGGUCAUAGCACCCCAAAGGUCAAUAAGGUGGCUAUAAAACCCCUCUGGGUGUGAGGAGGAAAAAUAAACUAAACUAAACUGUUCCUCAUUUGACCCUAAAUGAGGAACACAA
rnacentral:lncRNA from 1 species